rnacentral:rRNA from 1 species
GACGAACGCUGGCGGCGUGCUUAACACAUGCAAGUCGAACGCUGAAGCUCAGCUUUUGUUGGGUGGAUGAGUGGCGAACGGGUGAGUAACACGUGAGUAACCUGCCCCCUUCUUUGGGAUAACGCCCGGAAACGGGUGCUAAUACUGGAUAUUCACUGGUCUUCGCAUGGGGGUUGGUGGAAAGGGGUUUUCUGGUGGGGGAUGGGCUCGCGGCCUAUCAGCUUGUUGGUGGGGUGAUGGCCUACCAAGGCUUUGACGGGUAGCCGGCCUGAGAGGGUGACCGGUCACAUUGGGACUGAGAUACGGCCCAGACUCCUACGGGAGGCAGCAGUGGGGAAUAUUGCACAAUGGGCGAAAGCCUGAUGCAGCGACGCCGCGUGAGGGAUGGAGGCCUUCGGGUUGUGAACCUCUUUCGCUCAUGGUCAAGCCGCAACAAUGGUUGUGGUGAGGGUAGUGGGUAAAGAAGCGCCGGCUAACUACGUG